AUGGGGUUGGGGGUGGGGGGCGCUGCGGCAGCGGCGGGAGCCAGGGAGAGAGGAGGGGCCGGGUGGCUUACCCUGCGGGACCCCGGGGGCCGCGGCUCCAUGGCCCGGGGUGGCGGACCCGGGCGGGGGACCCGAACCUGGCCGGGCCAGGCAGGCCGGGGACGCGGCGCUGGUUGCCCGGGUGGCUCGGGGCUGUGCGGCCGGGCCGGGUCCGGAGAAGGGGAGGCGGCACCGGCCAGGACCGGAGCCCGCCCCAGAGGCGGGGCCGAGGGCGGGCCGACGACGGGGGCGGGGAUAGGGAGUCAGACGGAUGAACGGGUGGGGGCUAGGGCGAAAAGAGGAGGAGGGGGUGUCCCUGUCCAGACAUUCGUUCCAGGGAAGACCUUGUCCUGGCGAGGGGGCGCUUGGCCCGGCGACGGGGCAUUGAUCAGAUGUCCUCGGCUUCCUCCACUGGGAACCCUUGAUGGGUCCAGCGUCUCCACCAAUCCUAUAGACGACCCUGUUUCUCUAGCUUGGACAUUUCUCCUUUCUUUCAUCCCUUCCUCCCUGACCCUCACUACCCUGCUGACAGCCUCUCUUCCGAGUUCCCAGACGACCCUUCCCCUGCUCCCUCUGCACCCUCUGCACACGGCUCUUCUGCCCCUUUUACAUGUCACUUCCCCUACUAGGGAGGCGAAACCGAAUCUAGGUACCCGGGUGUCAGGCACUGCUCUCUCAGUGACUCCUCUGAACGGUGGACCUAGGGGCGCCGUGGGCAGAAGCGACCUCAGAUUGGGGACAUCGUCCCUAACUUCUUCCCAUCUCCUCCCGUCGCCCGCCACCUGCUGGAGAACCAGGUUCCCGAAGCGCUUAUGUUUCGUGCACUUGCUGCCCUCUGGCGGUCGAGUGGGGGCAGCACUGGGGGACGAUGGGCCGGAGGCAGAGGACCCCAGCCCACUCCCCCAGACGCCUCAUUCUCUCUGGACACGUCCGAGGAUCCCCACCCUCCCGUCUCUAGAUCUCAGCCCCUCCCAUCCCAUCUCAUCUAGGCCAGAGAGAUGA
rnacentral:lncRNA from 1 species